rnacentral:misc_RNA from 1 species
AAUAUAUCUAAACAAAUAUGGCCGUUGCUAUAAAUAUGUGGGUGCAGAGGAGCCGGAUGAAGAAAAAUAACCUGAGGAGCUUCCAUAGGGUAAUGCUCUGGAAAGUCAACUUGAAGUUGGUAGGUCUCAUUAGCGUAGAGUGUUCCCGGAGCUCCGUUUACUUCAAUUACCCAUCUUUGGAGAUUAUCAGUGGCUUUGUGUUUGAAGCCAGCAGGAGGGUUGACCUGCCACUCU